rnacentral:rRNA from 1 species
UUGGAGGGCAAGUCUGGUGCCAGCAGCCGCGGUAAUUCCAGCUCCAAUAGCGUAUAUUAAAGUUGUUGCAGUUAAAAAGCUCGUAGUUGAAUUUCGGGGUUAGUAGGCUGGUCAUGCCUCUGGUAUGUACUGGUCUCACUGAUUCCUCCUUCCUGAUGAACCGUAAUGCCAUUAAUUUGGUGUUGCGGGGAAUUUGGACUGUUACUUUGAAAAAAUUAGAGUGUUUAAAGCAAGCUAACGCUUGAAUACAUUAGCAUGGAAUAAUGAAAUAGGACGUUCGAUCCUAUUUUGUUGGUUUCUAGGAUUGACGUAAUGAUUAAUAGGGAUAGUUGGAGGCAUUAGUAUUCAAUUGUCAGAGGUGAAAUUCUUGGAUUUAUUGAAGACUAACUACUGCGAAAGCAUUUGCCAAGGAUGUUUUCAUUAAUCAAGAACGAAAGUUAGGGGAUCGAAGACGAUCAGAUACCGUCGUAGUCUUAACCAUAAACUAUGCCGACUAGGGAUCGGAUGAUGUUAAUUUUUUAAUGACUCAUUCGGCGCCUUACGGGAAAC